rfam:Dictyocaulus viviparus strain HannoverDv2000 D_viviparus-1.0_Cont503.2, whole genome shotgun sequence.
GCCCAUCAACCCGUAGAUCCGAACUUGUGUUCAGUUCUGUGAUACACAAGCUCGGCUACAGGUGGAUGGACU